AGAGUUUGAUCCUGGCUCAGGAUGAACGCUGGCGGUGUGCCUUAAGCAUGCAAGUCGAACGGAAGUCCGCCUUCGGGCGGACGAGAGUGGCAGACGGGUGAGUAACGCGUAGGAAUCUACCCAGUAGUGGGGAAUAGCCCACCGAAAGGUGGGGUAAUACCGCAUACGAUCGCAAGAUGAAAGCCUUCGGGCGCUAUUGGAGGAGCCUGCGUGCUAUCAGCUAGUUGGUGGGGUAAUGGCCUACCAAGGCGACGACGGCUAGCCGGUGUGAGAGCACGACCGGCCACAAGGCUACUGAGACACGGAGCCUACACCUACGGGUGGCAGCAACUGGGAAUAUUGCGCAAUGGGCGAAAGCCUGACGCAGCGACACCGCGUGUGGGAAGACGUUCUUCGGAAUGUAAACCACUGUGGCGAGGGAUGAAGUUCUGACAGUACCUCGCUAGAAAGCAUCAGCUAACUACGUGCCAGAAGCUUCGGUAAUACGUGGGAUGCAAGCGUUAUCCGGAUUUAUUGGGCGUAAAGGGUCCGUCGGCGUUCCUGUAAGUUUCUUGUUCAAGCCUGAGGCUCAACUUCAGAAAGGCAAGGAAAACUGCAGGAAUAGAGUUCGUUCGAGGAAAUUGGAAUUCUUGGUGGAGGGGUGAAAUCCGUAGAUAUCAAGAGGAACACCAUGCGCGAAGGCAGAUUUCUAGGACGAUACUGACGCUCAGGGACGAAAGCUUGGGUAGCAAAAGGGAUUAGAGACCCCUGUAGUCCAAGCCGUAAACACUCCUUGCUAGUUGUCCGCCUUAGGGCGGAUGACGCAAGCUAACGCGUUAAGCAAGGCGCCUGGGGAGUACGACCGCAAGGUUAAAACUCAAAGGAAUUGACGGGGGAGCGCACAACCGGUGGAGCAUGUGGUUUAAUUCGAUACAAAGCGAAAAACCUUACCCGGGUUUGACAUGUACCUGCACGUUCUGGGAAACCAGAGCUUCUUCGAGAGUGGUACACAGGUGAUGCAUGGCUGUCGUCAGCUCGUGUCGUGAACAAACAAUCUCGCGACCCAUACUAGAAAUAGUAUGAGAAAAAUCUGGCUCAUAUCGGUGGAGUCCGGUUGCAUUCAGUUUUUGCAAGAUUUAGCUUGUAAAAUAGAGGCAAUGGAUAAUACCGAGGGAAGUCGGGCAAUUACGAGUGUCUUUAGGGCUCGAAAAAAUCUUGAGCUCUGCUUAACUAAUCGUCAGAUGUCUAUAGUCCUUGGUUCAAUACUUGGUGAUGCUUAUAUUUAUCCAAAAGGAAAAAUCUGUUUCGAGCAUUCUCAUGCACAAAGAGAAUUCCUUUUCUGGAAAUACAGCGAGCUAAGAAACCUAGCUUAUUCCUUCGUAGCGCAAGUGAGGAGAGUAGAUAAGCGAACCAAUAAACC
rnacentral:rRNA from 1 species